UACGUAGGGUGCAAGCGUUGCCCGGAUUUAUUGGGCGUAAAGAGCGCGUAGGCGGUCCGGUAAGUCAGCUGUGAAAGUCAGGGGCUCAACCCUUGAAAGCCGGUUGAUACUGUCGGGCUAGAGUCCGGAAGAGGCGAGUGGAAUUCCCGGUGUAGCGGUGAAAUGCGCAGAUAUCGGGAGGAACACCAAUGGCGAAGGCAGCUCGCUGGGACGGUACUGACGCUGAGGCGCGAAAGCGUGGGGAGCAAACAGG
rnacentral:rRNA from 1 species